rnacentral:RNase_P_RNA from 1 species
GGAGUAACUCAAACGAUCGCUGGAUAAUUGCUUGCGUCCAGAGGAAAGUCCGAACACCAUAGGGCAGGGUGCUCCAUAACGUGGAGUCGUGGCAACACGAAGGAAAGUGCAACAGAAAGUAUACCGCCCGGCACCAAAACAAUUGUUUUGGUGCCGGGUAAGGGUGAAACGGUGCGGUAAGAGCGCACCAGUUCCUCGGGUGACCGGGGAAGCUUGGCAAACCCCACCCGGUGCAAGACCAAAUAGAGGAGCGAUGGAGAGUGGCCCGCUCAAGCUCCCGGGUAGGUCGCAAGAGAUGCCGGGUAACCGGUAUCCUUAGAUGAAUGAUCGUUGUCCGGUUUGGGGAAACCCGGACCGGGGACAGAAUUCGGCUUAUGAGUUACUCUGGCC